rnacentral:rRNA from 1 species
AAUCGGCUAUACAUUUUAAUAUUUAACUCUAUUUACUGUUAUAUCUUUAUUUUUUUUAUUUUUUUUAACCUAUUUUUGUAAAAUGUUUUAGGUUUAUUUAAUAUUUUAAAGAUGUAUAAAAUUUGGUUUUUGAACUGGAUUAGUACCCAGGUAAUCAAAAUUUAUUAAUUCGGGAGUAAAGUUUUAUUUAAACCGAAAAAAUAUUGACUGACUUUAGAUUUUUCUUUGGAAUAUGUGUUUUGGACAGUCCUCCUUACUAGUUAGUUUUGUUGGCACAUGUAUGAUUGUUUAGUUUUUAUUAUAUUUGUAAUGCUAUUAUGAGUUUUUUAUUUUAAAACAGAUAUAUACUUGGCUUAUAAGUUAAUUUUUCAUGUGUUACUAUUAUUAAUUUUUUUUGGAUUUUUUUUUAGUAUUUUUUUGAAAUUGGAAAAGAAAGUAAUUAAUUUUUUAGAUUUGAAUGAAUUUAAUAAAUAAAGUGGUACAAACUC